rnacentral:rRNA from 1 species
UAAUUGGGUGCUAAAAGAAUGAAAUUACAAAAAAAGACUUUCUUAAUUUUAAUAAUUAAAAUUAUUUUUUUUUGUGAAGAAACAAAAAUAAAAAUUAAAGACAAGAAGACCCUAAGAAUUUUCUUUUUUACUUAAUAUAAAAUAUUUUAUUUAAAAAUUUAAUUGGGGCGAUUAAUGAAUAUUAAUAACUUUAUAAAGAAAUAAAAUGAUCCAUUAUUAAUGAUUAUUUGAUUAAAAUACUCUAGGGAUAACAGCGUAAUAAUUUUUGAUAGUUCUUAUAGAAAAAAUAGUUUGCGACCUCGAUGUUGGAUUAGGAUUCUUUUUUAAUGAANAAGUUAAAAAA